rnacentral:rRNA from 1 species
GAUCCUGGCUCAGGAUGAACGCAGGCGGCGUGCCUAAUACAUGCAAGUAGAACGCUGAAGCUUGGUGCUUGCACCGAGCGGAUGAGUUGCGAACGGGUGAGUAACGCGUAGGUAACCUGCCUCUUAGCGGGGGAUAACUAUUGGAAACGAUAGCUAAUACCGCAUAAAAGUCGACAUCGCAUGAUGUUGACUUGAAAGGUGCAAUUGCAUCACUAAGAGAUGG